UAAGGAAUAUUGGUCAAUGGACGCAAGUCUGAACCAGCCAUGCCGCGUGGAGGAUUAAGGCCCUCUGGGUUGUAAACUCCUUUUAUCUGGGAAGAAAUGUACUUUUUCUUGAGUACUUGACGGUACCAGAGGAAUAAGCACCGGCUAACUCCGUGCCAGCAGCCGCGGUAAUACGGAGGGUGCAAGCGUUAUCCGGAUUCACUGGGUUUAAAGGGUGCGUAGGUGGGCAGGUAAGUCAGUGGUGAAAUCUCCGGGCUUAACCCGGAAACUGCCGUUGAUACUAUUUGUCUUGAAUAUUGUGGAGGUCAGCGGAAUAUGUCAUGUAGCGGUGAAAUGCUUAGAUAUGACAUAGAACACCAAUUGCGAAGGCAGCUUACUACACAAUCAUUGACGCUGAGGCACGAAGGCGUGGGGAUCAAACA
rnacentral:rRNA from 1 species